rnacentral:rRNA from 1 species
UUCAGGAUGGACGCUAGCUACAGGCUUAACACAUGCAAGUCGAGGGGCAUCAGGAAGAAAGCUUGCUUUCUUUGCUGGCGACCGGCGCACGGGUGAGUAACACGUAUCCAACCUGCCCUUUACUCGGGGAUAGCCUUUCGAAAGAAAGAUUAAUACCCGAUAGCAUAAUGAUUCCGCAUGGUUUCAUUAUUAAAGGAUUCCGGUAAAGGAUGGGGAUGCGUUCCAUUAGGUUGUUGGUGAGGUAACGGCCUACCAAGCCUUCGAUGGAUAGGGGUUCUGAGAGGAAGGUCCCCCACAUUGGAACUGAGACACGGUCCAAACUCCUACGGGAGGCAGCAGUGAGGAAUAUUGGUCAAUGGGCGCUAGCCUGAACCAGCCAAGUAGCGUGAAGGAUGAAGGCUCUAUGGGUCGUAAACUUCUUUUAUAUAAGAAUAAAGUGCAGUAUGUAUACUGUUUUGUAUGUAUUAUAUGAAUAAGGAUCGGCUAACUCCGUGCCAGCAGCCGCGGUAAUACGGAGGAUCCGAGCGUUAUCCGGAUUUAUUGGGUUUAAAGGGAGCGUAGGUGGACUGGUAAGUCAGUUGUGAAAGUUUGCGGCUCAACCGUAAAAUUGCAGUUGAUACUGUCAGUCUUGAGUACAGUAGAGGUGGGCGGAAUUCGUGGUGUAGCGGUGAAAUGCUUAGAUAUCACGAAGAACUCCGAUUGCGAAGGCAGCUCACUGGACUGCAACUGACACUGAUGCUCGAAAGUGUGGGUAUCAAACAGGAUUAGAUACCCUGGUAGUCCACACAGUAAACGAUGAAUACUCGCUGUUUGCGAUAUACAGUAAGCGGCCAAGCGAAAGCAUUAAGUAUUCCACCUGGGGAGUACGCCGGCAACGGUGAAACUCAAAGGAAUUGACGGGGGCCCGCACAAGCGGAGGAACAUGUGGUUUAAUUCGAUGAUACGCGAGGAACCUUACCCGGGCUUAAAUUGCAGUGGAAUGAUGUGGAAACAUGUCAGUGAGCAAUCACCGCUGUGAAGGUGCUGCAUGGUUGUCGUCAGCUCGUGCCGUGAGGUGUCGGCUUAAGUGCCAUAACGAGCGCAACCCUUAUCUUUAGUUACUAACAGGUUAUGCUGAGGACUCUGGAGAGACUGCCGUCGUAAGAUGUGAGGAAGGUGGGGAUGACGUCAAAUCAGCACGGCCCUUACGUCCGGGGCUACACACGUGUUACAAUGGGGGGUACAGAAGGCAGCUAGCGGGUGACCGUAUGCUAAUCCCAAAAGCCUCUCUCAGUUCGGAUCGAAGUCUGCAACCCGACUUCGUGAAGCUGGAUUCGCUAGUAAUCGCGCAUCAGCCACGGCGCGGUGAAUACGUUCCCGGGCCUUGUACACACCGCCCGUCAAGCCAUGGGAGCCGGGGGUACCUGAAGUACGUAACCGCAAGGAUCGUCCUAGGGUAAAACUG